rnacentral:rRNA from 1 species
AUUGAACGCUGGCGGCAGGCCUAACACAUGCAAGUCGAGCGGAGCGGCGGACGGGUGAGUAAUGCCUAGGAAUCUGCCUGUUAGUGGGGGAUAACGUCCGGAAACGGGCGCUAAUACCCCAUACUCUCACAUGAGUCUAGGUCGGAUUAGCUAGUUGGUGGGGUAAUGGCCUACCAAGGCGACGAUCCGUAACUGGUCUGAGAGGAUGAUCAGUCACACUGGAACGGAGACACGGUCCAGACUCCUACGGGAGGCAGCAGGGGGGAAGAUUGGACAAUGGGCGAAAGCGUGAUGCAGCCAUGCCGCGUGUGUGAAGAAGGUCUUCGGAUUGUAAAGCACUUUAAGUUGGGAGGCGUUACCAAAAGAAUAAGCAACGGCUAACUACGUGCCAGCAGCCGCGGUAAUAC